GUGGGGAAUAUUGGUCAAUGGGGGAAACCCUGAACCAGCAACGCCGCGUGAAGGAAGAAGGCUUUCGGGUUGUAAACUUCUUUGACAGGGGACGAAAGCAAUGACGGUACCCUGAAAACAAGCCACGGCUAACUACGUGCCAGCAGCCGCGGUAAUACGUAGGUGGCGAGCGUUGUCCGGAUUUACUGGGUGUAAAGGGCGUGUAGGCGGGGCGGUAAGUCAGAUGUGAAAUGUAGGGGCUCAACCCCUGAAUUGCAUUUGAAACUAUCGUUCUUGAGUGAUGGAGAGGCAGGCGGAAUUCCGUGUGUAGCGGUGAAAUGCGUAGAUAUACGGAGGAACACCAGUGGCGAAGGCGGCCUGCUGGACAUUAACUGACGCUGAGGCGCGAAAGCGUGGGGAGCAAACAGGAUUAGAAACCCUUGUAGUCC
rnacentral:rRNA from 1 species